rnacentral:rRNA from 1 species
CCUGGUAGCGGGGGAUAACUAUUGGAAACGAUAGCUAAUACCGCAUAAAAUUGCUUAUCGCAUGAUAAUUAAUUGAAAGAUGCAAUUGCAUCACUACCAGAUGGACCUGCGUUGUAUUAGCUAGUUGGUGAGGUAACGGCUCACCAAGGCGACGAUACAUAGCCGACCUGAGAGGGUGAUCGGCCACACUGGGACUGAGACACGGCCCAGACUCCUACGGGAGGCAGCAGUAGGGAAUCUUCGGCAAUGGGGGGAACCCUGACCGAGCAACGCCGCGUGAGUGAAGAAGGUUUUCGGAUCGUAAAGCUCUGUUGUAAGAGAAGAACGGGUGUGAGAGUGGAAAGUUCACACUGUGACGGUAUCUUACCAGAAAGGGACGGCUAACUACGUGCCAGCAGCCGCGGUAAUACGUAGGUCCCGAGCGUUGUCCGGAUUUAUUGGGCGUAAAGCGAGCGCAGGCGGUUAGAUAAGUCUGAAGUUAAAGGCUGUGGCUUAACCAUAGUAUGCUUUGGAAACUGUUUAACUUGAGUGCAGAAGGGGAGAGUGGAAUUCCAUGUGUAGCGGUGAAAUGCGUAGAUAUAUGGAGGAACACCGGUGGCGAAAGCGGCUCUCUGGUCUGUAACUGACGCUGAGGCUCGAAA